rnacentral:lncRNA from 1 species
GAAACUGUGCUGGGUGUGCCAGCUCAUCAGGCACCCAAUCUUGCAAGACUAUCAUUAAAAGUCUCACUUUUGCUGUUCUCCGGUCUCUGAGGUCUCUGAGUCCAUUCUUCGGGUGUGGAUGGAUGGACAAUUUCAGACAUUGUUUGGACUAAGCUUGCUUUGGGUCUAUGGAGCCAGUUCCACAUGUGUCUGGAUGAAGUCAUCUUUCUCACGGGGCAGGGCAAACAGGCUCCACACUGUCCACUCCCAUCCACCAGGUGAGUAGCCCCUAGGGUGAGAACGCCCCUCCCCACCUUAGGAGUAAGGACGGGAUCCAGCCAGCUGCAGCAAACCCACCCACAAAUGGGAGACUACACAAACACUCCACUUCCUGCCUGAGAGGGUCUACAACCAAACGGCACGCAUGACUGUGGUGAAGCUGCGGUGUGCACCUGUGUCACCAACCAGGGGCUCCUCGGACGGGGGGAGGGGGGGCUCAAAGACCAGAGGAGGAGGAGGUGGGGGUGCUCAAAGAUCAGAACAGGAAGUGGCUGAAGACAGGGACUAGAGCCGGAUACAGAGCAGGUCAUCUGUGAGGUUCAGCUUUCCCUUAGAGAGGAUUACUAACCACUAAAGUUGGGCCAAGCAUCUAUUGCCACCAUGUCCCGUUAGGCAAUGCCAGAUGGCACUGCAUCAGGGGCCACACGUGUGUGUUCUGGGCCCACAUGGGUGACCCACCCGUCCCCCAUCACGGCUUGCUGGGGCUAUGGGAUCUCAGCAGCUCCAGGGACUGAAGUACUUACUCCACGAGGCCACACAGGGUACAGGCCACGGAGCCGCAGCCCCAGCAGGUGCGCACACACUGCCCGCACAGGGCUCGCUCACACUGACCGCAGACCGCCUUCCCAUCCACGGCUCGCACGCAUGAGGAACAGGCAAUGGACGCUACCCCAGAUGGGUCUGUGAGGAAGAAACGCCAAGCCGUCAGGCUGCAAGGAGACUGGAGUUUCCGGGACUGCCGGGCUACCUGCCUCCAUGCAUACCUGAGGGCAGAGGGCUCUGACCUGCCUACCCCAUCCCCACCUACACUGGAUCCUUCUGACAACCCGUGAGCCUGGUACAGUGCACAGGACCCCCGUUUUACUACAGAGAUCCAAGUGUUUGAAUUUUUCAACUGUCCUGAGAGGGCACACGAUUGCGGUCCUGCCACAGUUCCCACGGCAUCAUUCCCCUUACCUCCCCAUGGCCCAGAAUAGCACUCGCUUUCACAGCCCUAGCACACUGGAGACACCGCACAGAGGAACCUCGGGAGGCAGAGUCUUUCCCUCAUUCCCAAGGCACAAGCGGCACCAGGAUUCCGCUCAGACUGUUCUUCCAAGAAGCCUUCCGUGCCAUCCCUGCAGGUGCGCCUGCACAAACCUGUGCCUGCCCCGACCACCUGUGGCGACUCCUCCUGCUGGUCUCCCCAACUAGGCUGGGGAGCUCCCGGGAGACGGGGCACAUCUGUCUUGCCUGCCUUUGGUCUCCCGAGAAAGCCGCCGUGCCUGGCAGGGCCGCGCGCUCCAUGAAUACCUCUUGGGACAGGAGGGGCACUCUUCGGGUUGACUCCAUGCAGGACGCCCCGCUCCCCAACCUCUCCCAGGACAUCCUGCACGGGACAGUCCUGAGAAAGCACCAGGCGGGUGCCGCUCACUGCAGGGCGGCGACUAACCGGGAUCGUGGAAGAGGGCGCGGGGGCUAGGGGCAGGGACCCUUUUCUUUCAGGCUGUUGGACAGGGUGGGCGAACGCUGGGGUCCUCACAUCCCCCUCACUGACCCCAGCCCUGGGCGUGGCCAGCUUGUGUCCCCGCGGCCUCCCAGCUUCCGGGAACGCGGGGCCAGAAAGCAGGGCCCUCCAGCCCCCCGCUCAGGCCUCAGAGGGGACGCUGAGGCCCGGCCCGUUCCAGGCCCCGACGCAGCGGACCCUCGGCAGCCCGCCCGAC